GCUGGGCAAGGUGGCUCAUGCCUGUAAUCCCGGCACUUUGGGAGGCUGAGGCAGGAAAAUCACUAGAGGCCAGGAGUUCAAGACCAGCAUGGGCAACAUAAAGAGAUCCUGGUUCUACUAUAUAUAUAUAUAAAUUAGCCAGGUGUGGUACAUCUAGCUACUCUGGGAGGCUGAGGCAGAAUUGAACCUGGGAAUUCAAGAUUGCAGUGAACUAUGAUUAUACCACUGCACUCUUGCCUGGGCAACAGAGUGAGACUCUGUCUCA
rnacentral:sRNA from 1 species